GGGCAAUGACACGGGAGCCGUGAGGCUGAGAGGAAGCGAACGCUUCGACCGUAUGAACGUUUACCGGGCAAUUCCGGCGCACGGACGUCUCUCUUCCCGUGCC
rnacentral:ncRNA from 1 species